UUAACUUUUUUGAAUAUUUUAGACCGUCGGAUAUAAUUAAACUGAGAAUAUAUCUAACGGUUCAGAAUAUUCAAUGAUGGUGACCUGCUCACCUGGUAGCCUUUUUUUUUUUUUUUUUUUUUUUUGCAAAAUUCUGAAUUACAUGAUAAAUCAAUUUCAUAAAUUAUAACUAUAAUCCACGACAUAAACCCUAAUUCCUAAAGACCAGAAACUAUCUCGGCCACCCCAUCGUUCAUUCAACAGCUACUCAUUCAACCUAGCAGAGUUGCGAAGGCUUCGUAUCCAGUGAGUACAUGAUCAUUUUGCUCAAGGACGAGGACAAGGAGGCGAAAGAGAAGAUGUUGUAACCCAGGCAUGGAUGGAUCGUAUGAACCUUCAAUAUCUGAUAUUGGUUUGGUGUCCCAAAGUUCGAUAAAUGGAAGUGACUGUAAUGAAAUGCAAUAUAAGGGAGUUAGGUAUGAUAAGUUGUCUACAGAAGAUCUUAAAGGGCAAGAGUUUAAGACUGUGGAGGAAGCUGAGUCCUUUUACAAUGCCUAUGCAAAGGCCAUGGGUUUUGAUGUUAGAAACGAUUACAAGAGAUUAAGUAUACGCACAACAGGGAGAGUCACUUCAUUGCGGUUGGUUUGUUCUGCUCAAGGGAAAAGAAAAGAAGAGUACAUGAGUAACAAGAAAAGAGUUCGCAGGCCAAAGAAAG